GGAUCCAGACUUUGAUUAUGGCUCAGGACGAACGCUGGCGGCGCGCCUAACACAUGCAAGUCGAACGAGAGAGAAGAAGCUUGCUUCUUCGAUCGAGUGGCGAACGGGUGAGUAACGCGUGAGGAACCUGCCUCAAAGAGGGGGACAACAGUUGGAAACGACUGCUAAUACCGCAUAAGCCCACGGGUCGGCAUCGACCAGAGGGAAAAGGAGCAAUCCGCUUUGAGAUGGCCUCGCGUCCGAUUAGCUAGUUGGUGAGGUAAUGGCCCACCAAGGCGACGAUCGGUAGCCGGACUGAGAGGUUGAACGGCCACAUUGGGACCGAGACACGGCCCAGACUCCUACGGGAGGCAGCAGUGGGGAAUAUUGCACAAUGGGGGAAACCCUGAUGCAGCGACGCCGCGUGGAGGAAGAAUGUCUUCGGAUUGUAAACUCCUGUUGUUGAGGAAGAUAAUGACGGUACUCAUCAAGGAAGUGACGGCUAACUACGUGCCAGCAGCCGCGGUAAAACGUAGGUCACAAGCGUUGUCCGGAAUUACUGGGUGUAAAGGGAGCGCAGGCGGGAAGACAAGUUGGAAGUGAAAUCCAUGGGCUCAACCCAUGAACUGCUUUCAAAACUGUUUUUCUUGAGUAGUGCAGAGGUAGGCGGAAUUCCCGGUGUAGCGGUGGAAUGCGUAGAUAUCGGGAGGAACACCAGUGGCGAAGGCGGCCUACUGGGCACCAACUGACGCUGAGGCUCGAAAGUGUGGGUAGCAAACAGGAUUAGAUACCCUGGUAGUCCACACCGUAAACGAUGAUUACUAGGUGUUGGAGGAUUGACCCCUUCAGUACGGCAGUUAACACAAUAAGUAAUCCACCUGGGGAGUUCGACAAAGGGGUUGCAACUCAAAGGAAUUGACGG
rnacentral:rRNA from 1 species